CAGUAGGGAAUCUUCCACAAUGGGCGCAAGCCUGAUGGAGCAACACCGCGUGAGUGAAGAAGGGUUUCGGCUCGUAAAGCUCUGUUGUUAAAGAAGAACACGUAUGAGAGUAACUGUUCAUACGUUGACGGUGUUUAACCAGAAAGUCACGGCUAACUACGUGCCAG
rnacentral:rRNA from 1 species